UGACAGAUUACAGAAGCGAGAAAGAGUCCAGCUUAGGGUCGCCCUCAGUGACCUCUCUCUCAAGACGCCCAGGGCCCUGCUGAGAAGCACCCUCGCCCUGGAGGGCAGCACAGCAGGGCCUGCUCGGGGCCCGCUCCACAAACCGCAGGCUGUGGACACUCCCUUCCAUGGAGCCUGGGAGUGAGCAGGUGAGCGGGCCCCGGGCCGGGUUUCCGACCCUGCCCACUGUGCCGCCGUGGACCCCGAGGGGAGGGGUGGUGUUCGGUCAUCCAGACCCCAGCACUGCUGGGAGUGAGUGUGAACAGGACUGUAAUUAGGCCAGAGCAGCCGCACAAACCCAGACUGUCCUAGACAGAGCAGGACGGACCCCUGGGCUGACCCGAGGCUGGGACAAAUUUCUGCUAAAAUUGUGUAGAGCCCCAUGGCAACAGCCACUGGGGACGACUCUGCACACGCAACAGCUGGGUAAAGAGAGUCACUGCCCCUGCAACUGCCCCUGCACUGCUUACAAGGGUGACACGGGACAGCUGGAGGGUCAGAGGCUGCCGUGGGGCUGUCUCAGCCUCAGGCAACCCGUUCCCGUGCCCCCUGCUCCCAGCCAAACCCCACAGACGAUCUGCUGCUCAGUACGCACCAUACUGGGAAGAGAAACACGUCCUCACCACCCCCCCCUUAUCUCUGAGAACCUAAACAGGGAUUUAAUCAAAACAUUUGCCAAGCCCACUGCUCCUGGAGCCAGAACAUGGAAAACUGCUCUGCAAACCAUAACACUUAUUUUGAGAAGUUAAAUGUUCUCCAGAAAUCACGUGGUUUCUUUGUGUCACCUAGAAACAUACAACAAAGAAAGUGACUAAGGGGGAAAGGGGCGGUUUAGCCAGUGUUGUGCUCAGGGCAUCUGGGCUGCGCACAUGGGCUGGGUCAGAGGAAAUGACUCAGUCUUUAAUUUGCAAACUCGCUCUGGCCAUAGAACAUCUGAGGAAUAAUUACCAACCACCGAUUCAAACUGUCUUCGGCUAACACAGAAGAUGCUGCUAAGUGAGGAAGACGAGUCGGACGCAAACGUACUGUGAUGGGGAAUUUCAGGAAACCUUGCAGCUAAUAGGAUUUUGAACCUGUAUAUUAAACUAAACACAGCGAGGCCAUCUCUGCGGCCCUGCUGACAGCAGCCGGUCACUUCAGGACUCUCCCCAUCCUGCUUCUGAUCCACCAAACCUGAUGGUCCACCCUGAGCAGAGUCUGUGGCGAAAGGCAAAUGAAAGACUCACCCCCACCGUCUCCAAGGAGCUGGGGCACUUGUACGUUUCUAAGGAGAAACACUAUCUGCAAAGGAAAAAGCCAUGGCUCACUGGGGGGGAGAAUGGCUCCUCCACACCCGGGCCCAUCCCUCCCGGGACGGCGCCCAAGGGCUGGGCCCACACCAUGGCUGGACUCGCCCCAGAUCUGCAGCAGGCCCGUGGCAGUUGGACAGAUCACACUGCCAGCCCAAACCCCAGCAGAAAUGCUAGUGUUUUCCAGCCAGGGCACUUCCUGCAUGCUUUCCGCUCAAGAAAAAAACCCCAAAUGCUCCAUUUAAAGGAUGGCUAUGGACCUGCUCCACUGUUUCGGAGUGUUGGUAACCUCAAAAGCUCUAGGUGAACUUAGAAACUAGACAGAGACAAACUGUUGGAUAAAUCGCUGAAUGAUGCUUUAAAAAAUAAAACCAGGAGUUCCCGUG